ensembl:lncRNA
GCAGAAACCUCUGCUAUCUGCAAAAAGGCUACAGGAAAUGAUCUCUAAAGUGCUUUCUUGGCUUUAAGAUAGAUUUACAGUCUUUGGAUUCCUUCUUGUAACCCUUUUAGAAUGACUUGGACUCUUUUCCAGUGUACUUGGGGCGGGCUUCUUGUACAGCCUGAAGGCAGGACAGUAGCUUGCAUGAUCUGUCACCUUCCUUUGGUCUGAGAUUCCCUGGUGACUUGUAGGACUCUUGUAGCCACAGUUAUAGUCUAAUAUUGGAAUUCUCCACAGUCUGCUAUUUGCAGAAGUUCAAACUCUUUGAGACAGUUGCAAUAAAAGAAUUAUAUCAAAAAGAAUUUGCUGAAUUGUGACUACAAACAAAACUAGCUUUGUGGGGACAAAAUGUGCUCCUGUCAAGGGAACCUUAUGUUUGUUUUCCAGCCUCUCCUCCCAGGGUUUCACUUCUAAUCUCUCUGCAGAAAGAAACAUUUCAACAGGGAAACAAGUUGAAACUGAGACAAGUUAUUUUAAGUUCCUGAACUCCCAGCCGUACCUCAGAAGGAACUCCUCUGUUCACAAGCUAAAGCUGUCCAUAGUCUGCUUCCUUCCCAGAACAAUUCUGUUUGGAUGUUGGAUGCACACUUUCCCAAGCACUGUGGGCUCCAAAUUCAAAACAAUGCUGAAAAUGGUAGAAUAAUCCUAAAGUUAUGGGAGUGACAUAGCAUCCAUAGAAACCUUGAGCAAGUACCAUGAAUCGUGCUGCAGUUCAUGGGGUUGCAAAGAGUCGGACACGACUGAGCGACUGAACUGAACUGAACUGAACUGAUGGUUAAUUUAUAAGCCCAUGGGAUGUGUUCCUUCACUAUGAAUCAAAGGAAACCUAUCAUGUCACAGCAUCUAUCUCAGAGGAGGCAAUGGGACCCCACUCCAGUACCCCUGCCUGGAAAAUCCCAUGGACAGAGGAUCCUGGAAGGCUGCAGUCCAUGGGGUCGCUGAAG